CAGCUAGUUGGUAAGGUAAUGGCUUACCAAGGCUUCGAUCUGUAGCUGGUCUGAGAGGACGGCCAGCCACACUGGCACUGACACACGGGCCAGACUCCUACGGGAGGCAGCAGUGGGGAAUUUUGGGCAAUGGGCGAAAGCCUGACCCAGCAACGCCGCGUGAGGGAGGAAAUCCUUCGGGAUGUAAACCUCACAAGCAAGGGAAGAGAGCUACGGGCUGAAUAAUCCCGUAGUGCGACGGUACCUUGCGUAAGCCACGGCUAACUACGUGCCAGCAGCCGCGGUAAUACGUAGGUGGCAAGCGUUGUUCGGAAUUAUUGGGCGUAAAGGGCGCGUAGGCGGUUUGUUAAGUCGGCUGUGAAAGCCCGGGGCUCAACCCCGGAGGGUCAGCCGAUACUGGCAGACUAGAGUACGGAUGAGGUAGCUUGGAUUCC
rnacentral:rRNA from 1 species